UCAGACGAUGCGUCAUGCAUAUCAAUAAGCGGAGGAAAAGAAACUAACAAGGAUUCCCCUAGUAACGGCGAGUGAAGCGGGAAGAGCUCAAAUUUGAAAUCUUCAAGGUUCUACCUUGACGAAUUGUAGUUUAAAGAAGUGUUUUCUGUUAGAGGAGUUAGGUAAAAGUUCUUUGGAAUAGGACAUCAUAGAGGGUGAGAAUCCCGUAUUUGACCUAUUCUUUUCUAGCUGUGUGAUACACUUUCAAAGAGUCGGAUUGUUUGGGAAUGCAGUCCAAAAUGGGUGGUAAAUUUCAUCUAAAGCUAAAUAUUGGCGAGAGACCGAUAGCGAACAAGUACCGUGAGGGAAAGAUGAAAAGAACUUUGAAAAGAGAGUUAAACAGUACGUGAAAUUGUCAAAAGGGAAGCGUUUGACACCAGUGUUGUUUUCUCGAAAAUCAAUUAAAAAAGGCCGGAUUUUGUGUUGUAUUGACUUUAUCAGCUUUCUGCACUUUUUUCUUGUCUUUUUUAAUGCACUUUUCGUUUAACAAGUCAACAUCAAUUUCUUUUGUUGUAAAAGGGUCAUUGGAAGGUGGCUUUCUCUUCGGAGAAAGUGUUUAUAGCCUUUGAUCUCUGCAAUCGGAGAGACUGAGGUCUGCAGCUGUAGAUCCUUCGGGGUUAGAUACAUUUGUGCUAAGCUACAGCUUUUCAUAGACAACUUGUUGACUAUGUUUAGUCUUGUAACUUACCCGCUUAUGCUAUUUUACCUACGCUUAGGAUGUUGAUAUGCAUGACUGAUAU
rnacentral:rRNA from 1 species